UACGAAAGGGGGGCUAGCGUUGCUCGGAAUCACUGGGCGUAAAGCGCACGUAGGCGGAUCUUUUAAGUCAGGGGUGAAAUCCCAAGGCUCAACCUUGGAACUGCCUUUGAUACUGGGGAUCUCGAGUCCGGAAGAGGUUGGUGGAACUGCGAGUGUAGAGGUGAAAUUCGUAGAUAUUCGCAAGAACACCAGUGGCGAAGGCGGCCAACUGGUCCGGUACUGACGCUGAGGUGCGAAAGCGUGGGGAGCAAACAGGG
rnacentral:rRNA from 1 species